rnacentral:misc_RNA from 1 species
AAGAGACGUUGCCCUUCGGGGUAUACCUCCCACCCUUUGCUUAUUAUACCUUUGUUGCUUUGGCGGGCCCGUCCUCGGACCACCGGCUUCUGCUGGUCAGUGCCCGCCAGAGGACCUAAAACUCUGUUUGUUAAUAUUGUCUGAGUACUAUAUAAUAGUUA